rnacentral:rRNA from 1 species
AUUGAACGCUGGCGGCAGGCCUAACACAUGCAAGUCGAGCGAGCGGCGGACGGGUGAGUAAUGUAUGGGGAUCUGCCCGAUAGAGGGGGAUAACUACUGGAAACGGUGGCUAAUACCGCAUACUAUCGGAUGAACCCAUAUGGGAUUAGUUAGUAGGUGGGGUAAAGGAUCACCUAUGGGACGAGCCCUAGCUGGUCUGAGAGGAUGACCAGCGACACUGGAGCGAAGACACGGUCCAGAGUCCUACGGGAGGCAGCAGUGGAGAAUAUUGCACAAUGGGCGCAAACCUAAUACAGCCAUGCCGCGUGUAUGAAGAAGGCCUUCGGGUUGUAAAGUAGUUUCAGCGAGGAGGCGUUACUCGCAGAAGAAGCACCGGCUAACUCCGUGCCAGCAGCCGCGGUAAUUC